ACCUUAAAGCUAGCCUAAACACCAAAAAACACAGCACUAUCAAACCCAACAUCUUCCAGAAGUUAACUUAAAACAUUCUUAUUUUCAUAGUAUAGGCGAUAGAACAGAAACUUAGAGCCAUAGAUAUAGUACCGCAAGGGAAAGCUGAAAAAGAAAUGAAACAAAUCAUACAAGUAAUAAAAAGCAGAGACUAAACCUCGUACCUUUUGCAUCAUGAUUUAGCCAGAACAAUUGGGCAAAAAGAUUUUAAGUCCACCUUCCCGAAACUAAACGAGCUACUUCGGAGCAGCACACUAGAGCGAACCCGUCUCUGUGGCAAAAGAGUGGGAAGACUCCCAAGUAGAAGUGAAAAGCUUAUCGAGUUUAGUGAUAGCUGGUUGUCCAAGAAAAGAACUUAAAUUCUGCAUUAAUCUAUUCUAUCUGUCACAAACAUGUAAUACCCUCAUAAGGCAAACCGUAAUAAUUAAUAGUUAUUCAAAAGAGGUACAGCCCUUUUGAACCAAGAAACAACUUUCUAAGGUGGGUAACGAUCAUAAUAUAUUAAGGAAACAAACACCUCAGUAGGCCUAAAAGCAGCCACCUGUAAAGCAAGCGUUAUAGCUCCAGCUCCCACCAAACCAAUAAUCCUGAUAAUCUUAUCAAAACCCCCUUCUUCAAUAUUGGACAAUUUUAUCACUAGAUAAAAGAACUUAUGCUAAAAUGAGUAAUAAGAGGUUAAACCUCUCCUUUGACACCAGUGUAAGUCAGAAAGAAUUAAAUCACUGACAAUUAACCGAUACCAGCCACGAGGUUAUUAUUAUAAUACAAAAACAACAAGAAAAACACAUCAUAACCAUCGUUAACCCUACACAGGAGUGUCUCCAGGAAAGAUUAAAAGAAAAUAAAGGAACUCGGCAAACACAAACUCCGCCUGUUUACCAAAAACAUCGCCUCUUGCCAUAACAAGUAUAAGAGGUCCCGCCUGCCCUGUGAUUUUUUUUAACGGCCGCGGUAUCCUGACCGUGCGAAGGUAGCGUAAUCACUUGUCUUUUAAUUGAAGACCCGUAUGAAAGGCACCACGAGAGUUUAUCUGUCUCUAUUUUCCAAUCAAUGAAAUUGAACCCCUCGUGCAGAAGCGAGAAUAAUAACAUAAGACGAGAAGACCCUAUGGAGCUUUAAACACUUAAGUUAAUUAUUUCCUAAAAUCCCUCCUCGGACAUAACACAUACUACAAAUAAAUAUAACUUAACUUGUUUUUGGUUGGGGCGACCAAGGGGAAAAACAAAACCCCCUUAUCGAUUGAGUAUUUAAUAUACUUAAAAACUAGAACAAACAGUUCUAAUUCAUAGAACAUCUACCGAACAAUGACCCAGGAUAAUAUAAUCCUGAUCAAUGAACCAAGUUACCCUAGGGAUAACAGCGCAAUCCUUUCCUAGAGUCCUUAUCGCCGAAAGGGUUUACGACCUCGAUGUUGGAUCAGGACAUCCUAAUGGUGUAGCUGCUAUUAAGGGUUCGUUUGUUCAACGAUUAACAGUCCUACGUGAUCUGAGUUCAGACCGGAGCAAUCCAGGUCAGUUUCUAUCUAUGACGAUAUUUUUCCUAGUACGAAAGGACCGGAAAAAUGAAGCCACUGUUUUAAACACGCUUCUUUCCCAUCUAUUGAAGAAUAACUAAAAUAGAUAAGGGAAAAUCACAAACAAGCCAAAGAUAAUGGUUCGU
rnacentral:rRNA from 1 species